AAAUUUUCUUAGGAACCAAACAAGCUCCACCUUCUAAAUUCUUAUUCUGACUAUAGUGAUCAGUCGGGAACAGAUUUGCCUUCCCCAAAACUUCAGCCAUAGCUAGUUUUUCUUUCUUUUUCUCACAACAAAAAUCAAUAACCCAGAUUGAAAAUUGAAUCCUUUGCUUUAAUCUCAACGAUAAUUAAAAUAUAAUAAAGAGAGAAGAACGUUUCGUU